GACGAACGCUGGCGGCGUGCUUAACACAUGCAAGUCGAACGGAAAGGCCCUGCUUUUGUGGGGUGCUCGAGUGGCGAACGGGUGAGUAACACGUGAGUAACCUGCCCCUGACUUUGGGAUAACUUCAGGAAACUGGGGCUAAUACCGGAUAGGAGCUCCUGCUGCAUGGUGGGGGUUGGAAAGUUUCGGCGGUUGGGGAUGGACUCGCGGCUUAUCAGCUUGUUGGUGGGGUAGUGGCUUACCAAGGCUUUGACGGGUAGCCGGCCUGAGAGGGUGACCGGCCACAUUGGGACUGAGAUACGGCCCAGACUCCUACGGGAGGCAGCAGUGGGGAAUAUUGCACAAUGGGCGGAAGCCUGAUGCAGCAACGCCGCGUGCGGGAUGACGGCCUUCGGGUUGUAAACCGCUUUCGCCUGUGACGACGCGUGAGUGACGGUAAUGGGUAAAGAAGCACCGGCUAACUACGUG
rnacentral:rRNA from 1 species